GACGAACGCUGGCGGCGUGCAUAACACAUGCAAGUCGAACGGAGAUAGCAAUAUCUUAGUGGCGAACGGGUGAGUAACGCGUGAGCAAUCUGCCCUAUAUUACGGGAUAACACAAAGAAAUUUGUGCUAAUACGGUAUGACACAAAGCAUCGCAUGAUACAAUGUUAAAAGAUUUAUCGAUAUAGGAUGAGCUCGCGUCCCAUUAGCUAGUUGGUGAGAUAAAAGCCCACCAAGGCAACGAUGGGUAGCCGGUCUGAGAGGAUGAACGGCCACAUUGGGACUGAGACACGGCCCAG
rnacentral:rRNA from 1 species